rnacentral:rRNA from 1 species
GAUCAUGGCUCAGGACGAACGCUGGCGGCGUGCCUAACACAUGCAAGUCGAGCGGGGAAUAUUGAGUAGCUUGCUACUUGGUAUUUCUAGCGGCGGACGGGUGAGUAACGCGUGAGCAACCUGCCUUUAUCAGGGGGAUAACGCAUCGAAAGAUGUGCUAAUACCGCGUAAGACCACAGCUUCACAUGGAGCAGAGGUCAAAGGAGCAAUCCGGAUAAAGAUGGG